GUCCUCGUGGCCGAGCGGAUAGGCGCUGGUCUUCUAAACCGGCAGACGCGGGUUCGACUCCUGCCGAGGACA
rnacentral:tRNA from 1 species